UACCUGCAAGAUUAAGGGAGGUUUGAAAAAGAACCGCAGAGAAUGAUCAGACCUGAGAAUUGAUAUAGACACCCAGCCUCCCACAAACCUCGUCAAUAUUGGUAGGAGUUUGGGGGGAAUAUUCUGGAGUAAAAACUGAUUGAAAUGAAGAAUACUUUCACCUUGGUUAAAAGGGAAAAGAAGAGUCUUUAAGUAUAUGAUCAAAGAUCAGAACUGGACCUGGAGAGACACUAGAAACGCACUCCUUGAAUCACCCUAAGACUCCAAAAAAUCCAGCACACAGCAGGCUUCCCUGGGGCUAGGAGCAGCACUCUUGGCCCAGACUUUCAGGAGAAGACGUUGCUGCAGAGAGCCAUCACCAGCAAACUGUGAUUUAUUCUAAUUCACUCCGCUCUGGCACUGACCUCAUCCUGUGCUGGUCUGAAGAACAACACGGUAGGGUCGACGGCAUUUAUCUUUUCUGCACAGCUGUAAGACAGGCCCUCUGCUGCGAUGGAUUACCAGCAGCGGUUAUUCACAUUUUAAAAGAUCUCCCUGGCUGUCACACAAAAUCCCGCACAGAGAGAGCACAACUGCUCCUCCGGGCAUGGAAAUCCACGGGCAGCACGGGUAAAGGAAACCACGCAGAGCAGCAGCCACCGUUUCCAGCUUCCCCCAUCCCCAUCCCUGCUAACGCCAUGCCAGAUGGAGGAUGUGGUCCCCAGACUUCGUUGAAACUUUAAUGGGGAUCGCUAAGCUAUCUUGGUCACUAUCUUUGUGCCAGAGCUCACACAGGCAGGGUGCUGGGAGAGAGGAGGGGGCCCUCGGGGGCCACUCUUUUGACCUUGCCAACUUCAUCAUACCAAACACGGGGACUGGGGCACACAGGUCCUGGAUGGAUGCAGCUAUUGCGUGUUCUGUAUUCUGACCUCUCUUUUUUAGUUUUUCUUUUCUUUCCCAGCACUUCAAGCACUGGCCUUUGCUGGUUUCUGCUCUAAGAAACAAUAAAUAAGAGACAUACUGUUUAGGCAUGUUUCAAGACCAAUCUAUCAUUUAGAUUCUGAUACCUGAAUUGAUGACAAAAAUAAAAGCUGGAUUUCAACAUUA